UGAUAAUGAGAGAAAAAGAAAAGUCGAAGUCGACGAACGAGAUGAAGUUGGUGCUUUCCUCGAUCUUUCAAUCGGUGCUCGCGUCAAAGAAUCUCGUCGUUGUCUUUUGUCGAAGAAGAAAUCUCGUUAUGGAGUUGGGUGAAAUCGAAGACAAUUGGCCAUGGAAGUUACACAAGGAGUCCUCCUGAAGUGAGGGCGGAGAUGUUUUGUCAAUUGACGAGUGGACUCGAUGCUGCUUGGACCAAACUCAAAGGAGAAGAUGUCAUGACCAAGGAGAAUAUUGCUGAGCCAAUGAAGGAUAUCAGAAGAGCUCUCCUUGAAGCAAAUGUGAGUUGGUGUUUCUUGUUCCCUGUCAUAGGGGAACAUGGAAGGAAACCGGCGACCCUCAUCCAAAAAUAGGGGAAGGUGCAUUGCUUGGAGCCUGUGUGACUGUACUUGGAAACAUAAGCAUAGGUGCUGGGGCAAUGGUAGCUGCAGGUUCACUUGUGUUAAAGGACGUUCCUCCGCAUAGUGUGGUUGCUGGAAAUCCUGCAAAACUGAUCAGGGUCAUGGAUAAGCAAGACCCGUCUCUGGCAAUGAAAUAUGGUUUGAAGUUGCGGCUGCUACAGAAAAUGGGAGUGGAGAGCUUGAACGUGAUGUUGCAGCUGGUUUGUUUCUUCAUCACUUGAUAGGUAAGUUGUUGAUCUUGUUCUCGGUUAUGGCAAAAACUUGUAAUGCUUAAAUGAUCUCUGUUUUAUGUUGCUCUUGUUAUGCAAUUGAGAGAGUCACAAGACAAUGAACAUAGUUGUAUUUGUAUUCUUGUUAUGCAAUUGAGAAAGU